CAGGAUGAACGCUAGCGACAGGCUUAACACAUGCAAGUCGAGGGGUAACAGGGUAGCAAUACCGCUGACGACCGGCGCACGGGUGAGUAACGCGUAUGCAACCUGCCUAUAACUGGGGAAUAGCUCCCUGAAAGGGGAAUUAACACCGCAUAACACUAUUGAUUCGCAUGGAUUAGUAAUUAAAUGUAGCGAUACAGGUUAUAGAUGGGCAUGCGUGACAUUAGCUAGUUGGUGAGGUAACGGCUCACCAAGGCUACGAUGUCUAGGGGUUCUGAGAGGAAGGUCCCCCACACUGGUACUGAGACACGGACCAGACUCCUACGGGAGGCAGCAGUGAGGAAUAUUGGUCAAUGGGCGCAAGCCUGAACCAGCCAUGUCGCGUGCAGGAAGACUCGCCCUAUGGGUUGUAAACUGUCUUUUAUAGUAGAAGAAACACAUCUACGCGUAGAUGUCUGCCAGUAUACUAUGAAUAAGCAUCGGCUAACUCCGUGCCAGCCGCUGC
rnacentral:rRNA from 1 species